ACGUCUAUCCCUUUUUGUUCAACUUAUACUGCUCCUUCGUCCACCUUCCAUUGCAGAGUCUUCCGUUUGAUUUCCUCACAAUUUCCUGGAGCUUGAAUCCGAUCAGUCAUGGCCGAGAUUGAGCUGAAAACAGCACCUGCUGACUUCCGAUUCCCUACUACAAAUCAAACCAGGCACUGUUUCACUCGUUACAUUGAGUUCCACAGGUGCCUGACUGCGAAGGGCGAGGAGUCCGGUGAAUGUGAGAGAUUUGCAAAGUAUUAUCGUGCCCUUUGCCCUGGUGAAUGGGUCGAAAGAUGGAAUGAGCAGAGAGAGAAUGGCACAUUCCCCGGCCCUCUUUGAACGAAUGUUCAUCACCCCAGAAAAGCACAGAUUGUCAAUUUUAUGUAUGUUCUCAAGUUGUACCAAAAAACUGUUUGGGAGUUCCAUUAUUUUUCAUUGCCUCGAUCUAUUGUGUAUCUCAUGUUCUAUAAGUAAAGAACAUCAUUCUAGUGUUUUGAGGAACUGGAAACAUUGUGUUUAAUGUGGUCAAAAGGUUAAAGAGGGAGAGAGAGGGCCAAGAUUGCAAUUUCCCAUAUGCUUUUGGGGCUUUGUGAAUUGGUUUUGAAGCUUUCCAUUUUAUAAACUAUCUUCAACAGAAUUGCAUGGAAAGAAGAGCUUCUGAAUUGAAUGAAUCUUCUUCCAUUUGCUGCCUCCUUUCAAAUUCAAAACUUGAGCUUAAAUUUACUCAUUGUUGCUUUGAAUGCAAGAUUUGGUAAGUUGCUUUCAAAUAGGAAACCCAACUCAAGCUUUUAAGUA